rnacentral:rRNA from 1 species
CGUUAUCCGGAUUCACUGGGUUUAAAGGGUGCGUAGGCGGGNAGGUAAGUCCGUGGUGAAAUCUCCGNGCUUAACUNGGAAACUGCCGUGGAUACUAUNUGUCUUGAAUAUNGUGGAGGUGAGCGGAAUAUGUCAUGUAGCGGUGAAAUGCUUAGAUAUGACAUAGAACACCAAUUGCGAAGGCAGCUCNCUACACUAUUAUUGACGCUGAGGCACGAAAGCGUGGGGAUCAAACAGGAUUAGAUACCCUGGUAGUCCACGCCCUAAACGAUGAUUACUCGACAUCAGCGAUACACUGUUGGUGUCUGAGCGAAAGCAUUAAGUAAUCCACCUGGGAAGUACGACCGCAAGGUUGAAACUCAAAGGAAUUGACGGA